rnacentral:rRNA from 1 species
AGCGAACGCUGGCGGCAGGCCUAACACAUGCAAGUCGAACGAAGUCUUCGGACUUAGUGGCGGACGGGUGAGUAACACGUGGGAACGUGCCUUUAGGUUCGGAAUAACUCAGGGAAACUUGUGCUAAUACCGAAUGUGCCCUUCGGGGGAAAGAUUUAUCGCCUUUAGAGCGGCCCGCGUCUGAUUAGCUAGUUGGUGAGGGAAAGGCUCACCAAGGCUACGAUUAGUAGCUGGUCUGAGAGGAUGACCAGCCACAUUGGGACUGAGAAACGGCCCAAACUCCUACGGGAGGCAGCAGUGGGGAAGCUUGCGCAAUGGGCGAAAGCCUGACGCAGCCAUGCCGCGUGGAUGAUGAAGGUCUUAGGAUUGUAAAAUCCUUUCACCGGUGAAGAUAAUGACUGUAGCCGGAGAAGAAGCCCCGGCUAACUUCGUGCCAGCCGCCGCAGUAAGAC